rnacentral:rRNA from 1 species
CAGCCGCCACGGGAAUACGUAGGGUGCGAGCGUUAAUCGGAAUUACUGGGCGUAAAGCGUGCGCAGGCGGUUUUGUAAGACAGGCGUGAAAUCCCCGGGCUCAACCUGGGAAUGGCGCUUGUGACUGCAAAGCUAGAGUGCGGCAGAGGGGGAUGGAAUUCCGCGUGUAGCAGUGAAAUGCGUAGAUAUGCGGAGGAACACCGAUGGCGAAGGCAAUCCUCUGGGCCUGCACUGACGCUCAUGCACGGAAGCGUGGGGAGCAAACAGGAUUAGAUACCCCAGUAGUCCCUGUCUCUUAUAC